UACAUAGGGUGCAAGCGUUGUCCGGAAUUACUGGGCGUAAAGAGCGUGUAGGCGGCUUUUUAAGUCGUAACCUUAAAUACAGGAGCUCAACUCCUGUCAGGGUUCGAUACUGAUAAGCUAGAGAUUGGGAGAGGAAAGCGGAACUCACAGUGUAGCGGUGAAAUGCGUAGAUAUUGUGAGGAACACCCGUGGCGAAGGCGGCUUUCUGGACCAUUUCUGACGCUGAGACGCGAGAGCGUGGGGAU
rnacentral:rRNA from 1 species